UCGAACAGGCAUGCCCCCCGGAAUGCCAGGGGGCGCAAUGUGCGUUCAAAGAUUCGAUGAUUCACUGAAUUCUGCAAUUCACAUUACUUAUCGCAUUUCGCUGCGUUCUUCAUCGAUGCCAGAACCAAGAGAUCCGUUGUUGAAAGUUUUGUCGCUG
rnacentral:rRNA from 1 species